ACGCUCGACACCUACGGGAGGCNGCAGGUGGGGAAUAUUGCACAAUGGGGGAAACCCUGAUGCAGCGACGCCGCGUGGAGGAAGAAGGUCUUCGGAUUGUAAACUCCUGUUGUUGGGGAAAAAGAGGAUGGUACCCAACAAGGAAGUGACGGCUAACUACGUGCCACAGCCGCGGUAAUCUGAGCGGGCUGGCAAGGC
rnacentral:rRNA from 1 species